rnacentral:misc_RNA from 1 species
AGCUAGAGCCCUUGAACCAAGGGACGAUGCGUUGCAACGUUUAGGGCAGCAUUUUGAGCAAUUACUAGAGCAACGGGUGGACCACAGAUUCGAGCGUAUAGAAAGAAGUCUCAAAGAAAUUGUGCACCAUGUUGGCGCUUUAGAAACUAAUACAAACAAGGAUCGAGUGGCAAAUAGAAGGCCAAAAGAUGAUGCAGCUCAUGGUGACCCUAUUUAUCGAACAAUUCCUACUCGUAGGCAAUAUGUCUAUGAUGAAGACUCGAAAGAGGAGGACGUCUAUUAUUCCCAUGAUUAUCCUAGGCAUUGGCAGCAAGGUAAUUAUGGGAGAAGAGGUGUUCGUGGAUAUGAUGAGAGGGGAAGUAAAGAAUUCCGAUUAAAAGUAGAUAUUCCCAACUUUAAUGGGAAUUUUAAUAUUGAAAAAUUUUUGGAUUAGAUAGCAGAUGUGGAGAGGUUCUUUGAUUACAUGGAGAUGGCACUGAAAAGGUGAGUUAAAUUAGUCGCAUGCCAACUCAAAGGUGGUGCUUCUACUUGGUGGA